rnacentral:rRNA from 1 species
UGGCGAACGGGUGAGUAAUACAUCGGAACGUACCCAGAAGUGGGGGAUAACGCAGCGAAAGUUGCGCUAAUACCGCAUACGUUCUACGGAAGAAAGUGGGGGAUCGCAAGACCUCAUGCUUUUGGAGCGGCCGAUGUCUGAUUAGCUAGUUGGUAGGGUAAAGGCCUACCAAGGCGACGAUCAGUAGCUGGUCUGAGAGGACGACCAGCCACACUGGAACUGAGACACGGUCCAG